rnacentral:rRNA from 1 species
GGGGGAACCCUGAUCCAGCCAUGCCGCGUGUGUGAAGAAGGCCUUAUGGUUGUAAAGCACUUUAAGCGAGGAGGAGGCUACUAGUAUUAAUACUACUGGAUAGUGGACGUUACUCGCAGAAUAAGCACCGGCUAACUCUGUGCCAGCAGCCGCGGUAAUACAGAGGGUGCGAGCGUUAAUCGGAUUUACUGGGCGUAAAGCGUGCGUAGGCGGCCAUUUAAGUCAAAUGUGAAAUCCCCGAGCUUAACUUGGGAAUUGCAUUCGAUACUGGAUGGCUAGAGUAUGGGAGAGGAUGGUAGAAUUCCAGGUGUAGCGGUGAAAUGCGUAGAGAUCUGGAGGAAUACCGAUGGCGAAGGCAGCCAUCUGGCCUAAUACUGACGCUGAGGUACGAAAGCAUGGGGAGCAAACAGGAUUAGAUACCCUGGUAGUCCAUGCCGUAAACGAUGUCUACUAGCCGUUGGGGCCUUUGAGGCUUUAGUGGCGCAGCUAACGCGAUAAGUAGACCGCCUGGGGAGUACGGUCGCAAGACUAAAACUCAAAUGAAUUGACGGGGGCCCGCACAAGCGGUGGAGCAUGUGGUUUAAUUCGAUGCAACGCGAAGAACCUUACCUGGCCUUGACAUACUAGAAACUUUCCAGAGAUGGAUUGGUGCCUUCGGGAAUCUAGAUACAGGUGCUGCAUGGCUGUCGUCAGCUCGUGUCGUGAGAUGUUGGGUUAAGUCCCGCAACGAGCGCAACCCUUUUCCUUACUUGCCAGCAUUUCGGAUGGGAACUUUAAGGAUACUGCCAGUGACAAACUGGAGGAAGGCGGGGACGACGUCAAGUCAUCAUGCCCUUACGGCCAGGGCUACACACGUGCUACAUGGUCGGUACAAGGGUUGCUACCUAGCGAUAGAUGCUAAUCUCAAAAAGCCGAUCGUAGUUCCGGAUUGGAGUUCUGAACUUCGACUCCAUGAAG